GAUGAACGCUGGCGGCGUGCCUAAUACAUGCAAGUCGAGCGAACGGACGAGAAGCUUGCUUCUCUGAUGUUAGCGGCGGACGGGUGAGUAACACGUGGAUAACCUACCUAUAAGACUGGGAUAACUUCGUGAAACCGGAGCUAAUACCGGAUAAUAUUUUGAACCGCAUGGUUCAAAAGUGAAAGACGGUCUUGCUGUCACUUAUAGAUGGAUCCGCGCUGCAUUAGCUAGUUGGUAAGGUAACGGCUUACCAAGGCAACGAUGCAUAGCCGACCUGAGAGGGUGAUCGGCCACAAUGGAACUGAGACACGGUCCCGACUCCUACGGGAGGCAGCAGUAGGGAAUCUUCCGCAAUGGGCGAAAGCCUGACGGAGCAACGCCGCGUGAGUGAUGAAGGUCUUCGGAUCGUAAAACUCUGUUAUUAGGGAAGAACAUAUGUGUAAGUAACUGUGCACAUCUUGACGGUACCUAAUCAGAAAGCCACGGCUAACUACGUG
rnacentral:rRNA from 1 species